AUUAGCUGUAGUAGUCUUUGAAAAGAAGCUGUUUGGAAAUGAUGUGAGUGUUAAUUGGGCUGAGGACGUGCUCACUUUUUCUGUCUUCUGGGGACUGCCUAUGUAGUACCAAAACCCCGGGUCUAGCCAAUCAGCAUGAUACAGUUGCUCCGUUUUCCUGUCAGAACAGCUUGUUCUAACACAACACACCUCUCAAGGGGUCAGCGCUUUCAUUUGCUUUGUAGGUAUUUUAUUUGGGACUUUUUUCUCUUGAGACAUUUUCAAAUUUGGCACGCACUUCAGAGUCAAAUAGGACUACCGAAUUCAAAAGAAAAAUGUAAAUAGCAAAGUGGGAUUUUAAAAAUGUAACGUUAAUUCUCAUUACAAAAUGAACAUCGUUGGAGAAUAAUCCUUGGCACUUAAAGCAGGGAAUGUGCUAAUAUUUCCACAAGACUAAAUACGUCAAGCAUGACUGGAGGGAUCCGGGAAGUAGGCCGCCCGCGGAGGGAAGGGAAGUCGACGUGAGAAGAUCACUGUGUAGGUGUGAAGGGAGACUGGGGCAUCUGACGCAGGCAAGAGAGGAUGGGCUGUGUGUGUAUUGACCUGCUCAAAGGGUUCCAGGACUCUGCACACCUCCUCCACCACCUCCCAUUCCUCAUGGGUCAGAGCACCAACAGAUUCAUCUAUGGAGCCAGCACUUGGAGACUUGCAAGAGGAUGUAAUGGAGUCCUGACUGACAGACAGGCUUGAUACUGAUAUCUCUGAAUGGAGAGAGACCUGGCACUUAGCAUAAACAUUUUACUACACAGAACUUUCACUUGUGUUGUCUUUUUUAAAUGAUUGAAUGAAUGGUAUCAGUCAAUACGGGGUGGGAGAAACCCUGUGUAUUCUGCACCAGUAUCAGGGAACUCCUGAUGUAUACGGGACACCACACAUGACAGUUUGACCACUCAGACAUGUUUGCCAAGGUAGCCCCGUUACGAUCAGACAAAAUGCAGAUAGGCAUCAGUAUCGGUAUCAACCGGGAAUGACAAUGAAAGGUGAAAGGCAGACAUUG